rnacentral:rRNA from 1 species
UACAGAGGUCUCAAGCGUUGUUCGGAUUCAUUGGGCGUAAAGGGUGCGUAGGCGGCGCGGUAAGUCGGGUGUGAAAUCUCGGAGCUUAACUCCGAAACUGCAUUCGAUACUGCCGUGCUUGAGGACUGGAGAGGAGACUGGUAAUUUACGGUGUAGCAGUGAAAAUGCGUAGAUAUCGGGAGGAACACCUGUGGCGAAGGCGGCUUUCUGGGCCCUACCUGACGCUGAGACGCGAAAGCGUGGGGGAGCGAACCGG